AUAUUGUCUUGGUUAUAAUUUGCUUAUAUCUUUGAACUGAGGGGUGCUGAUAUAGUUUGUACUCAUAUUUAAUGGAUAUCUUUGAUUUAAAAAAAAAAGAUAUUGAACCAGACUGUUCCAAGAUUGUACAUGAUGUAGUAACCACAUCCAGGGUCCUCACAGUUUUGUGUAUACAGGACAAUUGUACCUCAUACAUGGACAGUAAUAGCAAUUGAAUCAUAUGAAGAAAAUCAGACUUAAAAUCAUAGAAACUAGCUAAGAAAAGAAAUAUAAAGAUUUAUUGGCCAAUGGAUGAAGUCGCUUAUUUUAAAGUAUGUUGAGAGAAGUUCAGAACAAGCCAUUUUGUUUGAGGAGAAGUUGUCAGCACGUCAUCAUUGAAUAAAUUGAAUUAUAGUGAAGCCUAAACAGAAAUGAGACAAUUGUCAAAUAAUUCAAAGACUACAUGGAUGAAGACUUACAAGGCAAAUAAUUGGCUGUGGCAAACAUGUGUAUGCAUUUACAUGUUUAAAGACUUGAAGAACUUGUACUGCCUUCUUCAGAUUUCAGUAGAAUUUGUUUAAGACAGUAAAUUCUGAGUAUGAAUUGAAGAAUUUUUGCUCAUUUAAAUGAAUUAUGAAAAUGUUUUACAUUUUAAAUAUACAAA